UGCAAUGCUGAGCAGUCCGUGUUAAUAUUAAUAUUAAUAAUAAUAGUGCAGCAGAAACAAUGCUCGUCUUUCUUAUUUUUAUUUUCAUUGUGGUUUGUAUAUUAAUAAAACACCAGCACUCGCUUGCAUUGCCCAUAAUAUACCGCAUGUAUGCAUUUAGAAAACGUUGCCAUUGUUAUAUGAAAACAUUUUUGGUAUUGCUGUCAUUACUACAGCACCUCACCUGUUGUAUACAGAUAGGGGGGCAGUCUUGAUCAGAAUGGCACGUUGUGUACCUUGAGUUUGUACGCGGAGUCUGUUACCAUUAGCGAUAAUGUCGUGUUGUGAACACUGAACGCUGGUGCAGUGUGCGGCUGCAGUCGUUGCUGUUUGAAAUUCACAUGGCGCCCACUGGAUUGCUGUGUUGCAAUCUGGACCUCCGUACAUCACAAGCUCCGUUGUUGUUUUGCUGUUCAAAAAAAAAAAUGAAAGAAUGCACGCGUGCGUUGAGUCUCUGCAAAUCCUUAUACUCCAAGUGCCGGUUUGGGGGAGCGAGUCCCACCGUGCAGUGUGGGGAGGUGCAGGUUACGACCCCGCCUCCCCUUCCUGAGCGCCUUUCUUUAUAAUCCCAGCACGAGGGGCGCUGCACGUGGGGGGCUCCUCUGCACCUCCUCGCGUUUGCAAACCCGCGGACAUGCGUGCACACCGUGCAGCCAGAGAGAGUUCGUUUGGUGAUGUUUUCAACGGAGUUCCAGGUUCGGUUACUUUGGAAAGAAGCUGGAUGAGGAACAUCUGAACUGACUCUGAAGGAUGAAGAACAUGGCAGGAAUGUUUGUGCAAAAGUCCUUACAGUGCAGAUAGCCGGCACUCUGACUGCAGUGCAAACACUUCUACCUUUGCCUUGCUGAUUGCUUGCUUGUGUGUUUUUUUUGUUUUUUUUUUAGUCCUUUUUCAAUGCUUUCUACGGAACUGGAAGCGGGCGAGCGCGUCUUGGUGUCUGGCUGCCCGUCCUGCUGUGGUAUUUAUGUUAAGGUGCAUCUAGUGCAGUUAGUGAACUAGCCUAGAAUCUACUGCGCUGGGUGCUCCUUCUGGCAUACAUGCUGCACUGUGCUUCAGGGCUGGCCCUGGUCCGGUAUAUCAGCCUGGAGAGACGUGCUCUCUGUUCAGAAGAGGUCUGUGUGUGAGACCCCAGCCUUGUAUGAUGAUGUGUUACAAUCCAGUCUGUUCAAUCUGUCGUGUUUGUAGGAAGUGUCGUUUCAGAAAUUGCUUAACUUUUUUUUGUGUGGUAGGAACUGCUAAUAAAUUUGACUCUUCAUGGUGUGAAAUGUUUGCUUUCAAGACCUGAAAAGUCUUCAGGUGUCGUGUUUUGUAUGUCACUGUAGCUCAGUCAACGUGUGUCUCCUGCAUCUGCCUCCACAGAGACUUGAGGCUGGCUGUGUGCACCUGCUGUGAUUGUCAGAAAGCCGCGCAGAGUGCAGGAAGGAGAUCCACGCUUCCUUGCAGGGACUUGUGUGUGACCUGGCCAGGGCACAGAGACUGUCUGUCUGCGCAGCAUCAAAGUGCUCACAGUGCAGGUAGUGGUGACUUCAAUCUACUGCACAGUGGGCACUUCUAGUGGUGCCUGACACUUGAAUCUCCUCCUCCCUGUGUGUGUGUGCGUUACGUACAGUGUGGGUUUGAUUUUUGUGAGGCACGCAGAUACCGGUUAGUUUUGCUGGUUUGCAUCCAGCUUUGAGAUUCCUCCGCUGUGCAAAUCCAUGCAAAACUCGCUGUGGCUGCGAGCAGCGUCCGUCCUGCUGCUUCUGAUUUGCACGCUUGCUCGUUUGUUUAUGCAUUUACUUCAAAUAUAAUCCAUGUGGAAGAUGGCAAGGAUGCGUCUGCAGUGCUUUUGAAAUGUAUUGGGUCCAGGCCUUUACAUUGCUCUGGAUUAGAUCUGGAAUGUGGAAUGUAUUGCUGUGGAAUGUUCCGGUGUAACCCUGCUUGCUCGGGGACAGGGUGUAUUGCUGUGGAAUGUUCCGGUGUAACCCUGCUUGCUCGGGGACAGGGUGUAUUGCUGUGGAAUGUUCCGGUGUAACCCUGCUUGCUCGGGGACAGGGUGUAUUGCUGUGGGAUGUUCCGGUGUAACCCUGCUUGCUCGGGGACAGGGUGUAUUGCUGUGGAGUAUUCCGGUGUAACCCUGCUUGCUCGGGGACAGGGUGUAUUGCUGUGGACAGUGUGCAGAGAAAGUGAAGGUGCACUGGAAGGAGGAAGUGACGUCUUGGUCCCCUGUAAGCAGGAAUGUGGCGGGGGCUCCAGUCUUGCUGUUUUCGGGUGGGUGGCGUUGCAAUCUUAUUCAAACGUUUAAAAAUUGCACGGUAUCCAUCUGUAAUCCGCGAGAUACUCGCAUCUCCAGGACGUGUGGCAGUGAUUGCUGGCCAUGCAGUAAAAUAUUCAACCGAGCUUCUGAGUUACAGGCAAGUGGUCUGCUUGUUUUAUUGCUUUUAUUUAUUUAUUUUACUUUUAGUUUUAAAAUAAUAAAUGUAAUAAUAAACA